UUGACAUCUGACCUCAAAUCAGGUAGG
rnacentral:rRNA from 1 species